rnacentral:rRNA from 1 species
AAACGUAGGUCACAAGCGUUGUCCGGAAUUACUGGGUGUAAAGGGAGCGCAGGCGGGAAGACAAGUUGGAAGUGAAAUCUAUGGGCUCAACCCAUAAACUGCUUUCAAAACUGUUUUUCUUGAGUAGUGCAGAGGUAGGCGGAAUUCCCGGUGUAGCGGUGGAAUGCGUAGAUAUCGGGAGGAACACCAGUGGCGAAGGCGGCCUACUGGGCACCAACUGACGCUGAGGCUCGAAAGUGUGGGUAGCAAACAGGAUUAGAUACCCUGGUAGUCCACACCGUAAACGAUGAUUACUAGGUGUUGGAGGAUUGACCCCUUCAGUGCCGCAGUUAACACAAUAAGUAAUCCACCUGGGGAGUACGACCGCAAGGUUGAAACUCAAAGGAAUUGACGGGGGCCCGCACAAGCAGUGGAGUAUGUGGUUUAAUUCGACGCAACGCGAAGAACCUUACCAAGUCUUGACAUCCCUUGACAGGCAUAGAAAUAUGUUUUCUCUUCGGAGCAAGGAGACAGGUGGUGCAUGGUUGUCGUCAGCUCGUGUCGUGAGAUGUUGGGUUAAGUCCCGCAACGAGCGCAACCCUUAUGGUCAGUUACUACGCAAGAGGACUCUGGCCAGACUGCCGUUGACAAAACGGAGGAAGGUGGGGAUGACGUCAAAUCAUCAUGCCCUUUAUGACUUGGGCUACACACGUACUACAAUGGCGUUAAACAAAGAGAAGCAAGACCGCGAGGUGGAGCAAAACUCAGAAACAACGUCCCAGUUCGGACUGCAGGCUGCAACUCGCCUGCACGAAGUCGGAAUUGCUAGUAAUCGUGGAUCAGCAUGCCACGGUGAAUACGUUCCCGGGCCUUGUACACACCGCCCGUCACACCAUGAGAGCCGGGGGGACCCGAAGUCGGUAGUCUAACCGCAAGGAGGACGCCGCCGAAGGUAAAACUGGUGAUUGGGGUG